AGCUCCAGUAGCGUAUAUUAAAGUUGUUGCAGUUAAAAAGCUCGUAGUUGGAUUUCUGGUACGCUGCGCCUGGCCCGCCCGCGUUAGCGGUGUGAGUGCUGGUGCGCGGUUGCCAUCCUUCUAGAGAACGAGUCUACCCUUCACUGGGCUGGAUUCGGGAUCUAGAUCAUUUACUUUGAAAAAAUUAGAGUGUUUAAAGCAGGCUUUUGCUAUGAAUACAUUAGCAUGGAAUAAUAAUAUAGGACUUUGGUUCUAUUUUGUUGGUUUCUAGGACUGAAGUAAUGAUUGAUAGGGAUAGUUGGGGGUGCUAGUAUUCAGCGGCCAGAGGUGAAAUUCUUGGAUUCGCUGAAGACUAACUUAUGCGAAAGCAUUCACCAAGGAUGUCUUCUUUAAUCAAGAA
rnacentral:rRNA from 1 species